rnacentral:rRNA from 1 species
AGCGAACGCUGGCGGCAGGCCUAACACAUGCAAGUCGAACGAACCUUUCGGGGUUAGUGGCGGACGGGUGAGUAACACGUGGGAACGUGCCUUUAGGUUCGGAAUAACUCAGGGAAACUUGUGCUAAUACCGAAUGUGCCCUUCGGGGGAAAGAUUUAUCGCCUUUAGAGCGGCCCGCGUCUGAUUAGCUAGUUGGUUGAGGUAAUGGCUCACCAAGGCGACGAUCAGUAGCUGGUCUGAGAGGAUGAUCAGCCACAUUGGGACUGAGACACGGCCCAAACUCCUACGGGAGGCAGCAGUGGGGAAUCUUGCGCAAUGGGCGAAAGCCUGACGCAGCCAUGCCGCGUGAAUGAUGAAGAUCUUAGGAUUGUAAAAUUCUUUCACCGGGGACGAUAAUGACGGUACCCGGAGAAGAAGCCCCGGCUAACUUCGUG